rnacentral:rRNA from 1 species
UACGUAGGUGGCAAGCGUUAUCCGGAUUUAUUGGGCGUAAAGGGAACGCAGGCGGUCUUUUAAGUCUGAUGUGAAAGCCUUCGGCUUAACCGGAGUAGUGCAUUGGAAACUGGGAGACUUGAGUGCAGAAGAGGAGAGUGGAACUCCAUGUGUAGCGGUGAAAUGCGUAGAUAUAUGGAAGAACACCAGUGGCGAAAGCGGCUCUCUGGUCUGUAACUGACGCUGAGAUUCGAAAGCGUGGGUAGCGAACAGG